AAAUGAGUCACCUGGGGAUCUCAUUAAAAUGCAGAGCCUGAUUCAGCAAGUCUGGGGUGCCCUGAGAUUCUACAUCUUCAAGGAGCUCCUGGUGGUCUUUGG
rnacentral:pre_miRNA from 1 species